ensembl:lncRNA
UGUGCGUUCGUGCACAAACACAUGCAGCAUAUACGCAUGUUUGUGUGUUCAUUAGCAUGAGGCCAUUACUUUGUGCAUCUCUGUGCGUACGUCUCUCAGCUGACUAGACACACUCACCGUCCUACUGUACACCAUUAAAAUCAAAGGGAAACUUUGAAAGCAGAAAUUUAACUGUAGCUCAUCAUUACCAAGCUCACAUUGUGGCAGAAAGAUCAAAGGAAGUCCCUUUGGCACAGAUAACUACAGUGCAUCUCUUAAAACCAAUAAAAUAUAGUCAAACCUGGAAAAGGAUUUGCCGAGCGAAUCGAACGGGUCAGCAUCUCACAGCAGUGAAUGUUAAAUAUGAAGCUAUACAUGAAAGUGUGCAAAAAGCAGGCUGUAAGAAAAACAACAUCAGCAAAAAUCAGAGCAUGAAGUAUGACAAGUUAACAAUAACUACCUUAAACUUAAAAAAACACUAUAAAAAAAGUUUAACAUAAUAAGGAAAAAAAAUUCUGAGAAUGACCUUCGGUAGUCAGCACAGUCUCUAGACCCACUUACAUGAAGGCUGCCUGCAAAGCAACUAUAGCAAUCUGGCAGAUUACACAGCACAGAAGAAGAGGGACACAAAAGCUUUGUGACUCAGUUGUUGCCUGGAAAGUCUUAGUGUCAGGUCAUCCACUGCGACAUUUUUACACUCAAAAAUAACCACUCAAAACUUGCUACAAGCUAGAUUCACCCAUUCAUACGUAUACAUUUCAAUGGAAGCCUUGGGAGCAACUUGGGGUUCAACUUGGGCACAUUCUUCUUGAUAGACACUUUGCUCUGAUCCAAUUGUCCAAAGCGGAUGGAUCAGAGGAUAAAUGGUGCCUGGCAGAAAGUUUAUUUUGUAUUUCUCAUGUACAGUACUUACCAAAUGUAUUAGACCACCUGUCAUAAAGACAAAAAACAAAUGUUAUAUUCUUAUUUAUUUAGUAGAUAACAGAUCUGACACUGUAUUUCUCAGAAAUUAAUCAAGCAUAAAAUUCUAC